CAGUAACAGCAGUAUACUGUAGGUAGGGGUAAAGGAUAGAUAAUAGACAGUAACAGCAGUAUACUGUAGGUAGGGGUAAAGGAUAGGUAAUAGACAGUAACAGCAGUAUACUGUCGGUAGGGGUAAAGGAUAGAUAAUAGACAGUAACAGCAGUAUACUGUAGGUAGGGGUAAAGGAUAGAUAAUAGACAGUAGCAGCAGUAUACUGUAGGUAGGGGUAAAGGAUAGAUAAUAGACAGUAACAGCAGUAUACUGUAGGUAGGGGUAAAGGAUAGAUAAUAGACAGUAACAGCAGUAUACUGUCGGUAGGGGUAAAGGAUAGAUAAUAGACAGUAACAGCAGUAUACUGUAGGUAGGGGUAAAGGAUAGAUAAUAGACAGUAACAGCAGUAUACUGUAGGUAGGGGUAAAGGAUAGAUAAUAGACAGUAACAGCAGUAUAUGUGAUGAGUCAAAAGAGUUGAGAGUGCAAAAAGGGUCAAUGCAGAUAGUCCAGGUAGCUAUUUAGUUAGCUAUUUAACUAACUAUUUAUCAGUCUUAUAGCUUGGGGCUAGAAGCUGUUCAGGGUCCUGUUGGUUCCGGACUUUGAGAGGAGCAGGGGCCAGUGUGUGUUUAGCAGAGAGAGAGAACGCCAAGCCGACUCACGUCAGUUAGACAAACUUGUUGCUGCCAUAGGUUAUCCAUCAUAUCAUCUGGUAGUGCCUAUCAUGACUGCAUUAACUUGUUAGCUAGCUAAGAGUAGCCAGCUAAUUUAGCCGGCUAGCUAGCUAGCUACAGUAAAGCAAAACAUGUUUCUGCUCUCCCUGUCCAAUGUCUACAUUCAUAUGAAACAACAGCCCAACAGCCUCAUUGUAGCCUAUUCCUUCUCAUUUAGCCAACUUCAUUCCAUAAUUUGUGUGUGUGCAUGUAUGUGUGUGUGAUGGAACUGACAGCUCAUGCUGAGGGAGACAGAGUAGUAGUCUGUGUGUGUGUGUGUGUGUGUGUGUGUGAGAGAGAGAGAGAGAAAGAGAUGGGACUGACAGCUGAGGGAGACAGAGUAGUAGUCUGUGUGUGUGUGUGUGUGUGUGUG
rnacentral:lncRNA from 1 species